rnacentral:lncRNA from 1 species
CUCUGACCACCAUCGUCGCCCCUCCCUCAUCUCACCGGACCGAUCUCCCUCACCCCCAUCGCGUGCAAGUCCCACACCCGACCACCAAGCCGCAACCCCCUUCCCCUUUCCUCUUUCUUUCCCUCUCUUUUUCCUAUUCCCUUUUUCUUUCUUCUUUUCCAUUUCGACCGACCAUCUUUCCCUCAACCACGUCGCAACACCGCCCGACCAAGUCUUCCAACCCGCACGAAAUCGACUAGCCCCACCUCACCCUUCCAAACCACCCUUCUUUUCCCAGCCCAAUCGCACACACUCCACCCCGAAUGCCCCACCCUGGCACCUCGUCCCUCUCCCCUUUCUCGGCCUUUUCCUAGCCUCGUUGCGUGCUAGAUGUUGCUGUUCACAACUCCGGCCAUCCCAACUGUCGUCGGUUCUUCUUUUUCC